AUGUCUAAGCGACGACGCCGGGGCGAGGAGGGUGAGGCCCGCUGCCAUGACCGCAGCGGCAACAAGCACAAGAGCCUCUAUCUGGUUCUAGACGACUGGCACAGGGGCUUCACCAUCCGCAAGCUUGACGCUGGCAGCCCUGACCUAAGCACCCCCCCUGUCGUCCGGCUAGUGUCACCUGCGCGUAACCUUCCCAUGGACUUUGCAGCACUGGGCGGCAACAUCAUAGCCACCAGCAACCAAUAUGCUGCCACCGUGGUUUUCGACACGGAAACUGCCGCUCUGGCCAUGGGCAAUCCCCUCCCUGAUUCACUCCUCGAUGCGGCAAACUACUUUCUCACCGCCGGCGACGCGCUGUUUGCGUUCGCCUACUACUUCAUGAGGCGGCCUCAGUCCUUUCACGUCCUGACCACCACCAAGGACGACAUGAACAAUUUGUGCCCAAGCACUGACAGGUCCUGGAAAAGCAUGCCGGCACCCUUCACCAAGGAUGAAAAGAUCAACUCCUACGCCCUUCACCCGGACGGGCACACCAUAUUUGUGUCUUCGUACACCAGCGAUGUCAUCGCUGGCACCUUCUCCUUUGACACCAAGAACCGUGAGUGGAGGCGCCAUGGGGAUUGGAUGCUCCCUUUCGAACUUGAAGGCUACUUCGACGCCGAGCUAGAUGCAUGGGUUGGGCUACACCCAGAUGGCUACAUCUGCUCCUGCCAAGUUCCCUCCCUCGGCAGCAGCAGCAGCACACUGCAGCAGCCCAAAUGGAAGAUGGCCAAGGAGCACAAGAUGUGGAACCCAUGGCAUCAGUUGGCUAGAGGGCGAGGACCUACUCUCACCUACAUGGGCAACUCCAGGUUUUUCCUUGUUGAUUGCGUGGCGGCCGAUGGUUUAGAGUUCCAGGAUGCUUUUGGUGACUCUUGUGGCUGCGUGCUCAGCAUGACCACGUUUCGUCUCAGCUACAAUCGUGAGGGAAAUCUGAAAAUCAAAGACAGGAAGACUACCUCUUGUCGCGUGUCUAAGCAACUCUCGACCUUCUCCCCCGUGGCCUUCUGGAUGUAG
rnacentral:rRNA from 1 species